AGCCCGCUCGCCGGAAGACCAAGGGUUCCUGUCCAACGUUAAUCGGGGCAGGGUGAGUCGACCCCUAAGGCGAGGCCGAAAGGCGUAGUCGAUGGGAAACAGGUUAAUAUUCCUGUACUUGGUGUUACUGCGAAGGGGGGACGGAGAAGGCUAUGUUGGCCGGGCGACGGUUGUCCCGGUUUAAGCGUGUAGGCUGGUUUUCCAGGCAAAUCCGGAAAACCAAGGCUGAGGCGUGAUGACGAGGCACUACGGUGCUGAAGCAACAAAUGCCCUGCUUCCAGGAAAAGCCUCUAAGCAUCAGGUAACAUCAAAUCGUACCCCAAACCGACACAGGUGGUCAGGUAGAGAAUACCAAGGCGCUUGAGAGAACUCGGGUGAAGGAACUAGGCAAAAUGGUGCCGUAACUUCGGGAGAAGGCACGCUGAUAUGUAGGUGAAGCGACUUGCUCGUGGAGCUGAAAUCAGUCGAAGAUACCAGCUGGCUGCAACUGUUUAUUAAAAACACAGCACUGUGCAAACACGAAAGUGGACGUAUACGGUGUGACGCCUGCCCGGUGCCGGAAGGUUAAUUGAUGGGGUUAGCGGUAACGCGAAGCUCUUGAUCGAAGCCCCGGUAAACGGCGGCCGUAACUAUAACGGUCCUAAGGUAGCGAAAUUCCUUGUCGGGUAAGUUCCGACCUGCACGAAUGGCGUAAUGAUGGCCAGGCUGUCUCCACCCGAGACUCAGUGAAAUUGAACUCGCUGUGAAGAUGCAGUGUACCCGCGGCAAGACGGAAAGACCCCGUGAACCUUUACUAUAGCUUGACACUGAACAUUGAGCCUUGAUGUGUAGGAUAGGUGGGAGGCUUUGAAGUGUGGACGCCAGUCUGCAUGGAGCCGACCUUGAAAUACCACCCUUUAAUGUUUGAUGUUCUAACGUGGGCCCCUUACCGGGGUUGCGGACAGUGUCUGGUGGGUAGUUUGACUGGGGCGGUCUCCUCCUAAAGAGUAACGGAGGAGCACGAAGGUUGGCUAAUCCUGGUCGGACAUCAGGAGGUUAGUGCAAUGGCAUAAGCCAGCUUGACUGCGAGCGUGACGGCGCGAGCAGGUGCGAAAGCAGGUCAUAGUGAUCCGGUGGUUCUGAAUGGAAGGGCCAUCGCUCAACGGAUAAAAGGUACUCCGGGGAUAACAGGCUGAUACCGCCCAAGAGUUCAUAUCGACGGCGGUGUUUGGCACCUCGAUGUCGGCUCAUCACAUCCUGGGGCUGAAGUAGGUCCCAAGGGUAUGGCUGUUCGCCAUUUAAAGUGGUACGCGAGCUGGGUUUAGAACGUCGUGAGACAGUUCGGUCCCUAUCUGCCGUGGGCGCUGGAGAACUGAGGGGGGCUGCUCCUAGUACGAGAGGACCGGAGUGGACGCAUCACUGGUGUUCGGGUUGUCAUGCCAAUGGCACUGCCCGGUAGCUAAAUGCGGAAGAGAUAAGUGCUGAAAGCAUCUAAGCACGAAACUUGCCCCGAGAUGAGUUCU
rnacentral:rRNA from 1 species